GAUGAACGCUGGCGGCGUGCCUAAUACAUGCAAGUCGAGCGAACAGACGAGGAGCUUGCUCCUUUGACGUUAGCGGCGGACGGGUGAGUAACACGUGGAUAACCUACCUAUAAGACUGGGAUAACUUCGGGAAACCGGAGCUAAUACCGGAUAAUAUUUAGAACCGCAUGGUUCAAUAGUGAAAGAUGGUUUUGCUGUCACUUAUAGAUGGACCCGCGCCGCAUUAGCUAGUUGGUAAGGUAACGGCUUACCAAGGCAACGAUGCGUAGCCGACCUGAGAGGGUGAUCGGCCACACUGGAACUGAGACACGGUCCAGACUCCUACGGGAGGCAGCAGUAGGGAAUCUUCCGCAAUGGGCGAAAGCCUGACGGAGCAACGCCGCGUGAGUGAUGAAGGUCUUCGGAUCGUAAAACUCUGUUAUUAGGGAAGAACAAAUGUGUAAGUAACUAUGCACGUCUUGACGGUACCUAAUCAGAAAGCCACGGCUAACUACGUG
rnacentral:rRNA from 1 species